rnacentral:rRNA from 1 species
ACGUACACUCCUGCGGGAGGCAGCAGUGGGGAAUAUUGCACAAUGGGCGCAAGCCUGAUGCAGCCAUGCCGCGUGUAUGAAGAAGGCCUUCGGGUUGUAAAGUACUUUCAGCGGGGAGGAAGGCGAUAAGGUUAAUAACCUUGUUGAUUGACGUUACCCGCAGAAGAAGCACCGGCUAACUCCGUGCCAGCAGCCGCGGUAAUACGGAGGGUGCAAGCGUUAAUCGGAAUUACUGGGCGUAAAGCGCACGCAGGCGGUCUGUCAAGUCGGAUGUGAAAUCCCCGGGCUCAACCUGGGAACUGCAUUCGAAACUGGCAGGCUAGAGUCUUGUAGAGGGGGGUAGAAUUCCAGGUGUAGCGGUGAAAUGCGUAGAGAUCUGGAGGAAUACCGGUGGCGAAGGCGGCCCCCUGGACAAAGACUGACGCUCAGGUGCGAAAGCGUGGGGAGCAAACAGGAUUAGAAACCCGUGUAGUCCCAUG